GGGUUCCUUUAGUAAUACCGAGCCUAUUUUCAAACGCAAGGGAUGUAAAGAACUACUACUCAAGGAUUGGCAGGCGCGGCCUCUGUCUCUAGGCCGCGGAGGCAGCAGUGCGGACGCCUGUCCACGGGCCGGCGCGGUCCUGGAGCCAGGGCCUGGGAGCGCCGGCCGCAGGGGUGCGGACGCUCGGAGCCGCUGCGAUUUGGAUCUCACCGCCGGAAGCCGGCCGACAGCACGCCCAGGCCGCUCACGGUCCAGCGGGAAAGGGCAGGAGCACGACGGGAUCCGGGGGAGCCAGAGCCGGAAAGAGCAGGUCCUGCAAGAACGGGUUAGGAACACCCUGGGGCCCGGAGAGGCGCCUGACCCCGCGAAGGCGUGAACGAAGCUGAGACCGCGCCCGGCCGCGCCGGGGUCGGCGGAAAGCACUCUGGGAUUUGCGGCCUGGUUGCGGUGGCACUUCCUCCUUCGCAUCACCUAGCGCGGUGGUUUUCAAUCUAGGCUGCAGAUACAUUUAAAAGAGAUUUCCCGCCCUUAAACAGAGUCCUGGGUUAAUUUAGCCGAGAAGCGCAUUCGUUUUCCCUCCGGGCGGGUUUGUGCAGUGCGUCAUUCCGGCCAGCAGGAGGCAGCAGCACCCAAGGAGCUGCGUGAGGGCUCGCGCGGGGCUGCUCGAAACCUGGGGCCGCGCACCGCGCCCGAGCCGCCUCUGGGCUUCGAAAGCGCGGUGUUUUGUGGGUCUCGUGCCCGGCUGCGGCCGCAAAGCCUGGCCCGUGAGUCCCAGGAGAGCAUGCGGGGUGCAGGCGACGUCGGGCCGACACAGCUGCACCUACCCGAGUGCGGCGGCGGCGGCUCGCUCGUCCGAAAGCGCGGCCCUUCCGGCCGAGUCUUCCUAGCUCAGGACCCGGCACACUGACGCGGCGAGGGGGCUGCAUCCCGCUGCUGACUGGGUCCCGGCCGGCGGUUGUCCGGUGCACGCCGCGGUGAGUUGCUGACCCGAAGUCGCUGCAAUGGGCUGUUGGCCGGCAGUGCUGCUCUUCCCAGGGCCAGCGAGACCCGGGAGGUGACCCAGCUCGGCUGCCUUCCGGGCCGCGGGCACGGCCUGCUAAGCUGGUGGAUGAGCCCACACCGGGAAAGGCUGGCGUACCGCCACGACGGCGACUUGGAUCUUGGCUCGACUCCUUCCAGGCUCACUGGAUGACCCGUGCGGACAGUGAAGUGACAAGAGCAGGCCACCUUGCUAACUAAGGCCACGGGCAUGUGCUGCAUCCACACUGAAGGAUGCUCCCGCUGGCCUCAGCCACAUUACAACCUGAGGGGUGGCGAGCCUUGCAGGCCCGGGGCUCCUCCCUAUGUGUGCAGUAAGCUGGUUUCUCGAGAAGCACACCUCCGAGCAGCGCCGUGCAACAGAAACGGCAUGCAAGCCAGUGUGCAUCUGAAAUCCUCUACUGGCCAUGUUGAAAAAGCAGUAGGUGCAGGCGAAAUGAGUUUUAAUAAGUUUUAUUGAACCCACAUACCCUCAGUAGUAUCAUUUAACAUGAAACCAAACUUUAAAACAUGACUGGAAGGGUCUGAAAUGUGGCACGCACGUCACACUCAGGGGUCUUCCAAUCCGGAGUGUGACACCGAAGUUAAGUGUCUGGAGGUCACACCUGGCUGGUGGCCAUGGUACUGGGCAGUGUUGGUGCAGGGAACUCAAAACAGAGAACCCCAAGUAGACCUGGGCAUUCACCAGAAAGUAACAGGGAGAAUCACGGAAAUGACUACAAGAUGCCACGGCGUUAACCUAAAGACCAAAAUAUCUGCAGAGAGCUGGUCUGGGAAAAGGCUUAAAUGAAAACAAGGUUAAAUUUCGAUUCAAAUAGGCUCUGUUACACAAGAGUAAAACUCACUUAAGGUGGCCCAGGACGUCCUGUGGAGCCAAGAGGUGGCAAGUUCUGGCUCACAUGUUGCUUCUGCAGGUCUAUAGGAUGGGGCUCUGGAGUGAUGAGCCAGGUCUUCCAAAAUCCAUGAAUGACGCAUCUUACCAGCGAUUGCAGACAGCUUUCUGGCAUCCAGACUUUGCACUGUGCUCACCUCUGACGUCCUGUGCACCCCUCGUCCUUGGCCAGUCUGUCCCCCCAGGCAGACACAGAGUGCUCUGCUUGGGACUCACUAAACAGACUCCGUGCACGCCUCUGAGGAGCGGACAGCCCUGCACAGCGAUGGUGGAGCUCUUGCUCAGUGCUGCAUGCCUGGACCUCGAGCCGUGAUCAGCAGUCAGAAGAGCAGCCAUGCUGUGCUGGGUGCUGCCCUGAAGGGCUGUGAAGGGAGGACCUCAGGAGGCUCAGAUUCCUCGCUCUCAAGUCUACUCCGCCCCAUCUGAGCUGAGCCACCCUGUAUGCGAGAGAGUGAUGGACAGCCACACCCAGAGAAGCAAGGGAGAUGGAGCCUGCAGUGAGGGACUAAGAAGAGAAGCAGGAGGCAGUGUGCAGUGACACCUCGCUUCGUGGAUGCUUCCGUCUGUAAACACUUUGCUUUGCAAACAGAACUGACUGGCAAAAUUUUGCUUAUGUUCUCGAACUCCUCAUAGGUGCCAAACAUGACCAUGGCCAUUUUCUGCUCUGACACAUGGUCGUGGCUUCCUCUAGUCGAGAUCGCAGUCACAGAUAGACCUGUGCACACUUGCUGUGAGGCUUUUGUGUGUUUUAGCACAUACAGUACUCUACAGUGUUAUUCAGUCCAGCAUGGCUCCAAAGAAACUGCAGAGGUAAAAAGAGAGUGCAGAGCAAUAAUGAAGGUAACAAGAAAGUGCAGAGCAAGAAUGGCAAGAAGGUUUUGAAGAAAUAACCAUUGAGUUGAAGGACGCUGUGGACAAGCAUGAGCAUGGUAUCCUUAUGACUGAUCUGGCCUCAGAGCACACGAUGGCGAAGUCCACAGCCUCGACUGUCUUGAAGAAUAAAAACACCAUCAAAGGAGCUGACGUGGCCAAAGGAGUAAUGAUGUUAACCAAGUAGAGGACACAAGUGCUGGAAGAGGUGGAAAAGCUUUUGUCAGUGUGGCUGAGUGAGAAUCAGCUGGCAGGUGAUAGUGUUAGGAAGCUAUGGUCUGUGAAAAGCCAGGAAAUUGCACAGCGGUCUACUGUAAGAAAUCCCUCUACACCUCUACAAGUGCAACAGGUGAGGGAUCUAGAGCCUGUAGAGGGUGGUUUGAUAAAUUCUGCAAGGGAAGUGUCUGUGAUAAGACAUGGUGAGGCUUCUGGUUCUGACAAGGCCUCCACAGAAGCCUACAGGAAAGAAUUCGCAGAACUCAUGAAGACAGAAGGAUAUGUCAAGCAACAAGUGUUUAACUCUGAUGAAACAGGGCUUUUGUGGAAGAAGAUGCUGAGCAGAACCUAUGACAUACAGGAGGAAAAGGCACCGCUGGGGCACAAGCCCAUGAAGGACAGACUGACCCUUGUGCCUGUGCGAAUGCAAGCCCCAAUCUGAAGAUUAGGCCACUACUGGUGCACCAUCCCCAGACCCCUCGGCAUUCAAGGGACAGUGUGGACAAGGCCAGGCUGCCUGUCGUGUGGAGGCUAGUGGCGAAGCCUGGGCCACAGGGCAACUGUUUAUGGAAGGGCUGCACAAGGUGUUCUCACCCACCAUUAAGCAAUAUCUUUCUGGCAACCAGCUGCCUGAAGGUGCCUCCUUCAGAUGGACAGAGCCCGGCAACCUCCAGCCUUGGCAGAUGACAUGGACGCUGAGUAUGACUUUAUGACGGUCAAGUUCCUCCCCUACACGACACCUCUUCUGCAGCCUUAGGCCAGCAAAUGACCCAUAACUUCAAGAAGCUGUGCACAGGGUGCUCUUCACCAGGUGUUUUAAUGUCACUGAAGAGACAUCCCUGACUGGAAGAAUUCCAGAAGAAACAUUUCUCCCCACCGCAUCAGGCUCCCUGACACAGCCUGAGAAGAUGUCACGUACCGGACCUUCAACUCAGCCUGGAGGACACCGGCCAGAACGCGUCACUGGGUGUGACUGUGAAGGGUCUGAGGCACAGGUGUGGAGGGAUUGUGCCCACGGGCAAGAGUGUGGGUCUGGACGCCGAUGGUGCAGACGUGGAGGGGACCAAAGGAGGAGCUGACGCGGGAAGCACUUGCUGAACCGCUGAGUGAGCAGCAGAAGGCGCCUGCCGAGGAGCCCUGCGCCGAGAGGGGGCUGGGAGGAGGCCGGCAGUGACGUGACAAACUUCACCCUGGAAAAUGGAACGAGGGCUGGUUCUUGAGAAGCCCCGCCCCGACAUGGCCUCUCAACACAGGCCCUCUCGUUCCCGGGGGUUGCGCAGCACAGGAAAAACACUGACAUUAGAGAGAUUUCUCCCGUCAACACCGACCCUGCAGCUAAGAGAGAAAGAAGAGGACUCCCCCGACGGAGGUCUCCCCAGUGCCUCAUGGAGGGGCCCACCCUCCAAAUAAUACCCUCCUUCCUGUCCUGCGCGCCAGGAGUCUCCAAGCAAGUGCCUUCAGGGCCCCAGUGACGCCGUGGUGACCACGUGCCUGUAACAGAAGUCAGCCCUAGAAGGAAAAUCAGUAGGUCCCACACUUGGGCUCACCGGCUCGGUGGUGAAACCUCACGGCGUAUUCAUAACACCACCUGGAGCACAAGUCCUGGAGAAAGCACAAGUUCUGUAGCCAGCUAUGAAAACCCUACAGGACUCUUCUGAGAAGCAGACACCGGGAGAGUUAGCAUUUCAGAUUUCUUUAUGUCAGUUGCCAUGGUCUUCUACCACACGGCUCCAAGCUUCGUUCCCUACUAUGCCUCCAUGUGUCCUCCAGCUUUCCAAAAGCCUCCCGCCCUUCACGACUGCAGACCUCAGAGGUGCUGCCCCUUCUCACUGGCCACUUGGCUGGGCCGACCGCCAUCCUUGCCCCUGCCUGUGCACGCUCUCUUCAGUCACCAAGACUCAGCUCAGCUCCUCCCUCCUGCACAGGGCCUCCUGGUGAAUCUCCAUCCUGGGAACUACCAAUUUUGUUGGCUGUCUGGUACUCCCCUUUGGAAAACACCACAUCAUUCCUUGCGGUCUUGUUCCACAGAGUUCCUGAAGCUUCUGUGUCCUCAAUAAUUCUCGAGGGCUUAUGUUGUGACUCCUCAUUUAGCCCUAGGACACAGGGAGCAUAUCCCAGGUUCCCUCAGUCCCCUGUCCUGGUGCAGGGCCCUGUACACGGUAGGCGCACAAUAGGUAACUGUCAGUUUGAAUAAUGUUUUUUGUGUUUUAAUCUUUCUCCAGCUGGUGUUACCUGGCUGGGCUGGUGGCCAUGGGACUCAGUCAUCUGGAGGGCAGAGUGGUGCUCAAGGCCGCGGAGUGGUUAGAGCCCUCCAGAGUGAGCUCCAAGGGGAGGGAAGCGAGGGCUCCAGAGGGAACUGGAGCUGAGAAUGGGAACUGAGAGUCCCAGCUUGUGGCCUGAAGGACGAGGCCCUGGCUCUAACUCCCCCGUCCCUGUGGGCCUCAAUCCCUGACAGAGAGUUGAGGGGCUGAGUGUCAGACUCUCCACAGCAACUGCUGACUGACCGUGUUCCCAUCGAGUGACCUGAGUCUACAGGUUGCCUGGGUCCAGAGGCUUCUACAGUGUCACUCAGACCUCGACAAGCAAGUGGAAGGGAGUGAAGCCAUCACAGGAACAACUGCAAAUCUGCUCCCGUUCAUCAAGGGGGGAAUUCCUCCCUCGUUAUUCGUAGUCACAAAGCACGCAUGAUCCGUUCAUGGCUCCACAGCUAUGCCUUCACCAUGUCUGCCAGCUCUUCCAGGGUGCUGGCAUCACCAGGAUCGUCCGGAGGGCCCAGCCACAGAGCGUGGUCAGUAGGACUGGCACAGGGAUCGAGACCCUGCUUCUCUGACGAGUUUCCAAGUGAUGCUGAUUUUGCUGGCCUGGCGGCCACCCUUGAAGAACACUGUUCAGGGUCUCCCUUACUCCAGCCCCCAGCCCUGGUUCCUGAAUCAAAUCUGUCCCUCCCGAGGUGGGCCUGCUUGGGGACUCCAGUGGCUUCACCAGUGGGGUUGCUUGAUGUCCAUCUCAGUCUCCCCCAUUCUUUCAUUGGAAAAAUGGACAACGGAGACUGAGGAAAUGCAGGAAAAAGGUACCAGAGCCACGGGCGAUCGAUGUGGUCGUUGUGACCCCUCACUCCCUCCUGCAGUGAUUCUGCUACAUUCUCUCUGCGGCAUCUGAUGAAGAAUCUGCUGUCGGUUUGAGGACACUACCUGCUACUUCCCAGCCUCUUUUUGGGAUCAACUGGGGAUACUUCAGAUAAGACGCUUCAACUAACAUCGUUACAACAAGGCCUGGCACGUAACAAAUACCCAACACAUUUACUGAGAUGCCGCCCUGGGCUUAGAGAUUGGAAGCCGAGUGCUUACCCCAAAUGUUUGGGCUCGGAUCCUGGCCGUGUUCACUGUCAGCUGCGUGACUUGGGCAAGUUAUCCGAGUUCUCGGUAACUCGGUCUCCUUGCCUGUACACUGGGGUUGAUAAUAACAGUGUGUCCAGGAAAACAGAGAUGAACUGAAUUCCUGUCUGCAAAAUCCUUAUGUCCAUGUCUGCCUCCUAAGAAGCACUGGGGCCUCCACCUUUGGAUCCACUCCAGCUCGAGCAGGAGGGUGCACAAACCAG
rnacentral:lncRNA from 1 species